UACGGGGGGAGCAAGCGUUGUUCGGAUUUACUGGGCGUAAAGGGCGCGUAGGCGGCCACCGCAAGUCAGUUGUGAAAUCUCCGGGCUUAACCCGGAAAGGUCAACUGAUACUGCAGGGCUAGAGUGCAGAAGGGGCAACUGGAAUUCUCGGUGUAGCGGUGAAAUGCGUAGAUAUCGGGAGGAACACCGGUGGCGAAGGCGGCGACCUGGGUCGAUACUGACGCUGAGGUGCGAAAGCGUGGGGAGCAAACAGG
rnacentral:rRNA from 1 species